CAUACUUAUGUAGCUCCCUUCUAAAGGCGAAAAUUUUUCGACGUUUUCUUAUUUGCUCAGUAAGGUUUUGCAGCUAAUCGUUAGAACACUAUCAUUAUACCAAUUAAUUUAAUAGAAAUACUUACGCAAUUGAGUAAGUAGUACAUGAAACCGUUUUUUCAGAGUAUAACGUUGUCGAGAAUAUUUAUCGUCAGGAGAGAAACGAGCAGGAUGCGAAGAUUUUGUGACUCUUCCAUCUGGAGAUACCUUUUUUAAAGUAUAAACACGCUUUCCCUCAUCAUUUAAAUAAUACAUCAAAUGCAUUGUGAAAAAAAAAACGGAUAUUACAAUUUUCCUAUGGUGCUGGAAAGGUGUAAAUGUCAAAAGUACCUCAACU